UACGUAGGGGGCAAGCGUUGUCCGGAUUUAUUGGGCGUAAAGAGCGUGUAGGCGGCUAGAUAGGUCCGUUGUGAAAACUCGAGGCUCAACCUCGAGACGUCGAUGGAAACCAUCUGGCUAGAGUCCGGAAGAGGAGAGUGGAAUUCCGGGUGUAGCGGUGGAAUGCGUAGAGAUCCGGAAGAACACCGGUGGCGAAGGCGGCCUGCUGGGCAGUAGCUGACGCUGAGGCGCGACAGCGUGGGGAGCAAACAGG
rnacentral:rRNA from 1 species